rnacentral:rRNA from 1 species
UACGUAGGGUGCGAGCGUUGUCCGGAAUUAUUGGGCGUAAAGGGCUCGUAGGCGGUUUGUCGCGUCGGGAGUGAAAACCUUGGGCUUAACUCGAGGUCUUGCUUCGAUACGGGCAGACUAGAGGUAUGCAGGGGAGAACGGAAUUCCUGGUGUAGCGGUAGAAAUGCGCAGAUAUCAGGAGGAACACCAACGGCGAAGGCGGGUCUCUGGGCCGGUACUGACGCUGAGACGCGAAAGCGUGGGGAGCGAACAGG